GGGGAUGUUCGGCUUCGACGGGAGAGGCUGACCCCGAACUGCGAGUCGAGAGGUGCCGACCUCGUAAAAUCCGCACAACGAAUUAAGUGCCAAUAAAAGCACAUCAUACGCAGCAAUGCCCCUCGCAGCCUAACGCGAUCGGUUAACUGCCAAUAGUCUUUUGAGACUACGUCCGCCUACCCCUAACUCUGGCUGGUGGUAGACCGGGCGACACAAAGCUGGAGUGCCGCAUGCGCAAAUGACGCUAACCAUGCGAAAGAUGACUUUCGGGUCAAAGGGUCUGGCUGACCACAGGUUUGUUGGUAUCGCCUGAAUCAGUGAGGAGAAAAAACCAUCUACACUCGUAGACGUUCGCCGGUUUAAUCUUUCGGACGCGGGUUCGAUUCCCGCCAUCUCCACUA
rnacentral:tmRNA from 1 species